GGUUCUUUUGUCCACUGGGCUGUGGGGAUCUCUUUCCUCCUCAGUCAGGGCUUGAAGCCAAGACAAGCCCUUGAGGAUUGUGGGUCAUCAUCAUAAGGACUGGCAUGAGUGGCUAACCCUGUUUUCCCACCUCAGACAGUC
ensembl:scaRNA